rnacentral:rRNA from 1 species
AUGGCCACGGCCGCCACCAUCUCCGCCACGCCCCUCGCCCCCCGGCAUGCCUUCGCCAGCCCCAAAAUGCUGCGAUCGCUCCCCUUCCUCCGGCGCCGCCUGCCCUCCUUGGCCGCCGCCGCGGUCAAGCAGGACGCGGCGGUCUGGAACGCGGCCCCCGUCGCCUCCAUCGGCGCGGCCAGCGCCGACGGCUCGCUCUUCCACCUGCGCGUCGACCUCUCCGACGCCGCCGACCUCGCCUCCUCCUUCACCGCGCCGGGGCAGUACCUCCUGGUCCGCGUCCCCGGGGAGGACGACCUCAAGCCCGCCUUCAUGGCCAUCGCGUCGCCGCCGGGGGGAGGCGCCUUCGAGUUCCUCGUCAAGGCCGUGCCCGGCGCCACCGCGGAGAAGCUCUGCGGUCUCCGCGGCGGGGACGUGGUGGAGCUCGGCGCGGUCAUGGGCAAGGGGUUCCCGAUCGAGAGGGUGACCCCGGCGGACGCCGCGGAGACGCUGCUCCUCUUUGCCACCGGGACCGGGAUUAGCCCGAUCCGCUCGCUCAUCGAGUUCGGCUUCGCGGCCAAGCAGAGAGCUGAUGUGAGGCUCUACUAUGGCGCCAGGAAUCUGGAAACAAUGGCGUAUCAGGAGAGAUUUGCAGAGUGGGAGUCAACUGGGCUCAAGAUAGUGCCGGUCCUGUCACGGCCAGAUGAUAGCUGGAAAGGUGAAAAGGGGUAUGUUCAGCGCGCGUUCUUGGAAGCCAAGAACAUUGCCAAUCCUACUUCCACUGGGGCUGUGCUAUGCGGGCAAAGCCAAAUGAUCGAGGAGGUCACCUCGGCCCUUACAGCAGAUGGUGUAUCACAGGAUAAAAUCUUGAAGAACUUCUAG